AUAUUGUUUAUGAAUAAAUAGUAUGUCACUGCUCAUCUUGGUCAGAAAUGGAGCGACGGUUUUGCCCUCACUACUUGCCUCAACUACGAUUUUGCCAUUGUUUUACGAUAAGACGCUGGAGGCUUCGAGAGACAGUGAUAGAGAGAGAGAGAGAGAGAGAGAGAGAGAGACGGUGAUCGAGAUAGAAACAAUCGAGGGUUGGGUUUGUUUUGGAAGAUGUUCCGUUGCACCAAGACUUGGAACCCACCGCUUCCUCUUCUCUUAGUUUGAGAAGAGAAGAGGACUUGGCUACAUUGGUAACCAAACCUCAAUUUGGAGACACUGCUUACCAAGAAAGGAGACGUGAUGAUUUAGGUAAGACAAAUUCUCAUGAAACUUGCAGUUUAUAAUGCAGAAGCAGGGGAGGAUUCUGAUAUUAUACUUUCUGUUUUGAUUCUGUUAAUAAAACGUGUGGGAUGGCUUUUGAUUGGUGUAUUGAUCACAACUGUGUUCAGAAUGUUGAUGAGGAAAUACACACGUAACUGUUGAUGGCGAAGCUUCUAUCCCAAAAUUCCAUUUUUGCAAUAUGUAAAUAUACAAAUCUACUUAAAUACCAGCUUUUGUAAUAUGUAAAGUUCUGACGUUCACCAAUAACCGUUUCUUAGAUUAUGGUUCUGAUUGUUAUACAUACAAGAAAUUGAGGAAGAAAAAAAAAUUGCAAUCGCGCAGGGCGUAUAUCCAGUGGAAUCUAUAUCUAAGUAUUGUGACA